AAGCCAUAAUAGCACAAGCCAAACAAUGGAAUGUACUGCAACAUUCCCUGCCCAAAAGGAGAUGAACAAAACCCUUAUUCUGGCAGGAAAAUGCUCAAGGAUGUGAUACGUAACAGUGAUAGAAGAACAGGUAUUGCCAUACAAGGACUAGCAAAUGGCUUAUCUAAUACCAUGACAUGUCAUGCAGUGGUUUCUCCACCCAAGGGGAAUUCUCCUAGAAAGUUGAAGCUUGUCUGGAAACGAUUUCUCGCUGUUGGAACAGUUUAAAGAAGCUGCCUCCCGUCAUGUCCUAAAAACACAACCUUUCUUCCGUUGAGUGUUCCACUGGCUUGCUGAGCAUUACAGAAGAGCUACAGAGGAAUGCCUCAGAGAACCUUGUGUGCAUGAUGCAGGAAUGGGUGUGAUGGAUACUGUAUUUGGAAAAGAGCUGCUUUCAAGGUACUAAAGAUGGUCCAGGAUGUGAUUACAUGCAAACUUUAAUGCAUAUUACUGAACUCCACUGUUGUGAAGUCUGGUGAAGUCAAGGGAUGAGAACAGUUAUGCAGAAGAUCCUUCAAAAAAAGUAUUCACCAACAUUGCUAGAAAUACCCUUUAUUCUGAUCACAUUUAGGCUGAUUGUGAGUCAGCUCUGUAUCUGCUGAGGAAGUUAUCUUAGGCACCCUGUAAUUAGGUCUCUGCAGCACCUUCCUCGUACAUAAAUGGGCAAGUGGAUUCCUGGCUGUUUUCCUGUGAUCAACAAUGCAACUGAGGAGCACA